GAUGAACGCUAGCGGGAGGCCUAACACAUGCAAGCCGAGCGGUAUUGUUUCUUCGGAAAUGAGAGAGCGGCGUACGGGUGCGUAACACGUGUGCAACCUGCCUUUAUCUGGGGGAUAGCCUUUCGAAAGGAAGAUUAAUACUCCAUAAUAUAUUGAACGGCAUCGUUUAAUAUUGAAAGCUCCGGCGGAUAGAGAUGGGCACGCGCAAGAUUAGCUAGUUGGUGAGGUAACGGCUCACCAAGGCGAUGAUCUUUAGGGGGCCUGAGAGGGUGGUCCCCCACACUGGUACUGAGACACGGACCAGACUCCUACGGGAGGCAGCAGUGAGGAAUGGUGGUCAAUGGGUGCAAGCCUGAACCAGCCAUCCCGCGUGAAGGACGACUGCCCUAUGGGUUGUAAACUUCUUUUGUAUAGGGAUAAACCUACCCUCGUGAGGGUAGCUGAAGGUACUAUACGAAUAAGCACCGGCUAACUCCGUGCCAGCAGCCGCCGCCG
rnacentral:rRNA from 1 species